rnacentral:lncRNA from 1 species
AUCUUGUAAUUGGGUUUUUUUGAAUGCUUAAAUUGUUUCGAUAUAAAUACGUAUUUACCAGUUCAAAAUAUUCAAUACUUGUUUUGAUGAUUCUUUAGGUAUAAUAAUAUGGCUCAAAUUAAAACUUUGUUUCUUGUUUUUGCUUUAGCUUUUACAUUCUUUUCAGCUGUUGCUAAUGCUCAGUUAACUGACUGUUAUCCAGGUUAUUGCGCCCGAUGGGCUCGUAUCGUUUGCCCUGGUAUCGUUUUGACAUGUCAAAAUGUUGUGUCUUCCGGCCCUUGCGGUUGUUGCAAUUCAUGUGCAUAGUGUCACAUGUUGAUAUAAUGAUAUAAUGUGCAGAUACAGACCAAGUGGCAGAUAUAAUGUGUAGAUGAUAUCAAAUUUUUUUACGUAUAAAAUUUUAUGUGUGUACUAAAGAUAUUUUUAUUUUACAAAACGAAAUAAAUUCCUAAUUAAAUGAUUAAUGGUA